rnacentral:rRNA from 1 species
UGCCAGCAGCCGCGGUAAUACGGAGGGGGUUAGCGUUGUUCGGAAUUACUGGGCGUAAAGCGCACGUAGGCGGAUUAGAAAGUUGGGGGUGAAAUCCCAGGGCUCAACCAUGGACGUGCAUUUGAUACUGGAUAGCUUGAGUAUUGGAGGGGGUGGUGGAAUUCCCGGUGUAGAGGUGAAAUUCGUAGAUAUCGGGAGGAAUACCGGUGGCGAAGGCGGCUCACUGGCUCGAUACUGACGCUGAGGUGCGAAAGUGUGGGGAGCAAACAGGAUUAGAUA